AUUGAACGCUGGCGGCAUGCCUUACACAUGCAAGUCGAACGGCAGCGCGGACUUCGGUCUGGCGGCGAGUGGCGAACGGGUGAGUAAUACAUCGGAACGUACCCGGUUGUGGGGGAUAACUAGUCGAAAGAUUAGCUAAUACCGCAUACGACCUGAGGGUGAAAGGGGGGGACCGCAAGGCCUCACGCAGCAGGAGCGGCCGAUGUCUGAUUAGCUAGUCGGUGGGGUAAAGGCCCACCAAGGCGACGAUCAGUAGCUGGUCUGAGAGGACGAUCAGCCACACUGGGACUGAGACACGGCCCAGACUCCUACGGGAGGCAGCAGUGGGGAAUUUUGGACAAUGGGGGCAACCCUGAUCCAGCAAUGCCGCGUGUGUGAAGAAGGCCUUCGGGUUGUAAAGCACUUUUGUCCGGAAAGAAAUCGCGCUGGUUAAUACCUGGCGUGGAUGACGGUACCGGAAGAAUAAGCACCGGCUAACUACGUGCCAGCCGCCGCCGUAA
rnacentral:rRNA from 1 species